CUACGUCACGCGGCGUAAACAGCGUAGGAAAAACAAAAAACUGUCCGUCUGCAACUCCCGACCCGGUAAACUGAGGGAAAUAGAACAACAACCGCUUAAAACGUGCUAUACUACACCGACUGGGAUUGGAAAAUGAUAGGACCAUUGUUAUCGUGUUCGGAUAAUCCCAAUUGCAGACCAAUAAAAAGAGAUUGAAUCAAAAAGCGCCCCUUGCGGUUAGCUGUCGACACACGCAAGUCAUAAACGAGACAUAGUUUCCAACAAUUGAGCGCUUCACUAAUUACAUUUCAAACAGCUCCGAUGAUCACAAAGAGGCCAUCAAUCGGACGUGUGCAAGGUGAGAAGGCCUUCUAGUGCGUCGGUUUCUUGCUCAACAACAUCUUCUUUGGCGGACGCUUUUUUCAUACGCUGGACGAGCGUGUUACGCGAAGGAAGAAUGAGAACACCCUGAUUGCGGAUAAAAUCAUAAGUUGAAGAACUUUUCGCGCUCAAGGUCGUCGCACUUCGCAUAGUCGCUUGACUGUAUUUGACAUUGACUGCAGUUUUAGCAUUAAAGUUCAGUAUCUGUAAAGAAGGAUACAUCGGAUGUAAAUAAGUGCUGAUUUACUAAUUAGGAAUAAACAAAACCUGAUCGAUGAGAAAA